rnacentral:lncRNA from 1 species
AUGUCCGCACCCCCGCCGUUCCCUCGGCUUCGUCCCGAUGCUCCGCUCCCGCCCGUCGCCCGCCUCCCGCGUGCGUCGACGGGCCGGUCGGUUCCCUGGUGGCAGCCGUGGGUUAUCGGUGGUGUGUGGCGUGUCUCGGAAGGGGUCCGCGGGGCGCUCGCGGCCCUCGUCGCCGCCGCAGCCCGCCGGUGUGUGUGGACGAGAGAGAGGCAGCGGACGGUGGGGAGGUGUGGUCCCGUCUCGGGGCUGGGGGCGUCGUGUGUGUGUUGGGGGCGACCCACGGUCGCAGAACGGAUUGGAUGCCCACUAACGGCGUCCGGGUCCCCGGUUCUAAGGGGAAUCGGCCCCUAUGCCCGCCGCUUCUUCCUCGGUGAUCCCCCUUCCGGCUCCCGUCCCCACCCCGGGGCGUCGUCUCUCCUUUCCCCCCUCCGGGAGCGUCGUCGCGCCGCACGCGCCCGCGAGGGUUGGCCGGGCCCGCGCCGCGGUCGCGCCUCGGUUCGUCGCGAGCGUCGCCGGUCGUCCUCGCGUCUCUCUUCCUCCGUCUCCCUCGCCCGGGGGUGCCCGCUCCGGCGUCGGCCCGCGGGACGCCGCGGUGUCCGUUCGCCGAUGCGAGCGCCCGCGAGGGUUGGCCGGGCCCGCGCCGCGGUCGCGCCUCGGUUCGUCGCGAGCGUCGCCGGUCGUCCUCGCGUCUCUCUUCCUCCGUCUCCCUCGCCCGGGGGUGCCCGCUCCGGCGUCGGCCCGCGGGACGCCGCGGUGUCCGUUCGCCGAUGCGAGCGCUCCCUGGGGGUCGAGAGGCGUGUGGAAAGGCGCGGGAAUCGGCCCCGGCGCCGGCGCCACCCCCGCUACCGGUGUCCCGGCUUCGACGGGCGCGCGCCGCGGCGUCGGUGUUCGGUGUGGUGUGGUUAGGUACAGGUUCGGAGGUUCGGCCCCCUUCCUCUCCCUUCCCUCCCUCCCUCCUCCGACCGCUUCGCGGCGACCGUCGUCCCUCUAAAGGGUUUCUGGCGGCUGGUCGUUCCCGGGACGCGCCGGCCGUGGCUGGUGGAAACAAGGAUC